rnacentral:lncRNA from 1 species
GCGACUCCCAGAGUCAAAGAGACAGAAGAAACUAUUUACCAAAAUUCGAACCACCUACGAGGCUUCCGUACUCACUCGCUUCGGGCUUGCCUACAAUUCACGUGCUCUAUACCUCGCUCUCCCAGGAUGCGGACCAUGUGGCUCUCGUACUAACAACUGAACGACGUUCUUAAAAAUAAAAAUCAAC